AGUGAACGCUGGCGGUAGGCCUAACACAUGCAAGUCGAACGGCAGCACAGUAAGCUCUUGCUCUUACGGGUGGCGAGUGGCGGACGGGUGAGGAAUACAUCGGCAUCUACUUUUUCGUGGGGGAUAACGUAGGGAAACUUACGCUAAUACCUCAUACGACCUACGGGUGAAAGCAGUGGAUCUUCGGACCUUUCGCGAUUGAAUGAGCCGAUGUCGGAUUAGCUAGUUGGCUGGGUAAAGGCCCACCAAGGCGACGAUCCGUAGCUGGUCUGAGAGGAUGAUCAGCCACACUGGAACUGAGACACGGUCCAGACUCCUACGGGAGGCAGCAGUGGGGAAUAUUGGACAAUGGGCGCAAGCCUGAUCCAGCCAUACCGCGUGAGUGAAGAAGGCCUUCGGGUUGUAAAGCCCUUUUGUUAGGAAAGAAAAGCAGCAGGUUAAUACCCCGAUGUUCUGACGGUACCCAAAGAAUAAGCACCGGCUAACUUCGUG
rnacentral:rRNA from 1 species